AGGCCGAACGCUGGCGGCGUGCUUCACACAUGCAAGUCGAACGGAAAGGCCCUGCUUUUGUGGGGUGCUCGAGUGGCGAACGGGUGAGUAACACGUGAGUAACCUGCCCUUGACUUUGGGAUAACUUCAGGAAACUGGGGCUAAUACCGGAUAGGAGCUCCUGCUGCAUGGUGGGGGUUGGAAAGUUUCGGCGGUUGGGGAUGGACUCGCGGCUUAUCAGCUUGUUGGUGGGGUAGUGGCUUACCAAGGCUUUGACGGGUAGCCGGCCUGAGAGGGUGACCGGCCACAUUGGGACUGAGAUACGGCCCAGACUCCUACGGGAGGCAGCAGUGGGGAAUAUUGCACAAUGGGCGGAAGCCUGAUGCAGCAACGCCGCGUGCGGGAUGGCGGCCUUCGGGUUGUAAACCGCUUUCGCCUGUGACGAAGCGUGAGUGACGGUAAUGGGUAAAGAAGCACCGGCUAACUACGUG
rnacentral:rRNA from 1 species